rnacentral:rRNA from 1 species
CCUACGGGCGGCAGCAGUGAGGAAUAUUGGUCAAUGGGCGAGAGCCUGAACCAGCCAAGUCGCGUGAGGGAGUACUGCCCUAUGGGUUGUAAACCUCUUUUGUCGGGGAGCAAAAGCCGGACGUGUCCGGCUGUGAGAGUACCCGAAGAAAAAGCAUCGGCUAACUCCGUGCCAGCAGCCGCGGUAAUACGGAGGAUGCGAGCGUUAUCCGGAUUUAUUGGGUUUAAAGGGUGCGCAGGCGGAGUUUUAAGUCAGCGGUAAAAUCGUGGGGCUCAACCCCAUCCAGCCGUUGAAACUGGGGAUCUAGAGUGUGCGAGAGGUAUGCGGAAUGCGUGGUGUAGCGGUGAAAUGCAUAGAUAUCACGCAGAACCCCGAUUGCGAAGGCAGCAUACCGGUGCACAACUGACGCUCAGGCACGAAAGCGUGGGUAUCGAACAGGAUUAGAUACCCGAGUAGUC